GGUGGAGUUACUGGAAAGGAUACCAAUCAUCAGAGUUCCAGCAGCCUUCCUCAAAAAGUCCCUGAAACUGAAAGUUCCCAAUGGAUGGGCACAGUUAAGCUAACAAAACAUAAAUAGCUUGCUCCCUGUGAUGCUGUUUCUACACAUGAGCUGCUUCCACAGAACGGCCCAUGUACUGCCAGGGUGGUGCUGGGUUGGUGUCAUGACCAAGAUCUGGGCAGGUAGAAAAACAGCUUUAGGUACAGAGACUUCAGUAGAGGCUCCAAGAGUGUGGCCCAAGGGUUCCUCUAUAUCUUGGAGUUGCUGAAAAUGAUUGAAAGGACCAAGAUGGGGGCUACAACUAACACCCCAGGAACAGAGAGAUCUGGGCAGGACUACAAUACAGGUGGCAGCUGCCAACAAGACGCCUUAG
rnacentral:lncRNA from 1 species